UAUCACAGCCCGCUUUGUUGACU
rnacentral:miRNA from 1 species